GCGGAGGUGGACCUGGAGUCGGAUCAGAUCCGACUGAAGUGUAUCCGUAAGGAAGGUUUCUUCACCGUGCCUCCAGAACACAGGCUCGGAAGAUGCCGAAGCGUUAAGGAGUUCGAGAAGCUGAACCGGAUUGGCGAGGGCACCUAUGGCAUUGUGUAUCGAGCCCGGGAUACGCAGACGGAUGAAAUUGUUGCCCUGAAGAAGGUGCGGAUGGACAAAGAGAAAGAUGGCAUCCCCAUCAGCAGCCUGCGUGAAAUCACACUGCUCCUGCGUCUCCGCCAUCCCAACAUUGUGGAGCUGAAGGAGGUGGUUGUUGGCAACCACCUGGAGAGCAUCUUCCUGGUCAUGGGUUACUGUGAACAAGAUCUGCCUCAAGCACAAGUUCCCAUGGCUCUCAGAGGCCGGACUGCGCCUGCUCAACUUCCUCUUCAUGUAUGACCCUAAGAAAAGGUACAGCCCUCACCUGUAGGUGGCUCCAUGGGCCCAACCCCUGACUUCUGCAGAGAUGGAAGGACACCGUAAACCCAGAUCCUUAAUUCACCUUUUAUGGUGUUGGAAUGGAAACUAAGGCCUUCCUUGCACACACACUAGGCAGGCAGUCUAGCACUGAGCCAUCUCAAUUCAACAAAUGUUUUAAAGACGGUUUCUCAUG
rnacentral:lncRNA from 1 species